rnacentral:rRNA from 1 species
CAGCGCCACGAGUGGCAAUCGCGAUUAUUGGGCCUAAAGCGUCCGUAGCCGGUUCGGUAAAUCCUUUGUGAAAUCGCCAAGCUUAACUUGGCGGCGUGCAGGGGACACUGCCGAACUCGAGACCGGGAGGAGUUAGAAGUAUUUUUGGGGGAGCGGUAAAAUGCUAUAAUACCAGAAAGACUACCGAUGGCGAAGGCAUCUAACUAGAACGGAUCUGACGGUGAGGGACGAAAGCCAGGGGAGCGAACCGGAUUAGAUACCCGCGUAGUCC